rnacentral:rRNA from 1 species
AUUGAACGCUGGCGGCAGGCCUAACACAUGCAAGUCGGACGGUAGCACAGAGGAGCUUGCUCCUUGGGUGACGAGUGGCGGACGGGUGAGUAAUGUCUGGGGAUCUGCCCGAUAGAGGGGGAUAACCACUGGAAACGGUGGCUAAUACCGCAUAACGUCACAAGACCAAAGAGGGGGACCUUCGGGCCUCUCACUAUCGGAUGAACCCAGAUGGGAUUAGCUAGUAGGCGGGGUAAUGGCCCACCUAGGCGACGAUCCCUAGCUGGUCUGAGAGGAUGACCAGCCACACUGGAACUGAGACACGGUCCAGACUCCUACGGGAGGCAGCAGUGGGGAAUAUUGCACAAUGGGCGCAAGCCUGAUGCAGCCAUGCCGCGUGUAUGAAGAAGGCCUUCGGGUUGUAAAGUACUUUCAGCGGGGAGGAAGGCGGUGCGGUUAAUAACCGCACCGAUUGACGUUACCCGCAGAAGAAGCACCGGCUAACUCCGUGCCAGCCGCCGCCGUAA